rnacentral:lncRNA from 1 species
UGGCGUAUACUUCCGAGUGGAGGGCACGACCUCCAAGGAACCACAGUGUCCCAGGGCGUGCUGGCGGGAGUGGGCUCACCUCUGCUGCUAACUAAUGUGGGUUAUCUCUUAAAGUGUGAAUAAACUAUCCAAGACUUAACUUCUGUAGAAAUCUGCGCCAAAGAAGAGGCGAGGAUGUGUCCAGCGCACGUGAAGUACAAGGAAUGUCAGCUCUGUUGAUCUUGGGGUUACACCUGGCCCUAAAACGCAUGCCUGAGUUGAUUUCCGCAGCUGCACCACUAAUGACGCGCUGACUCAAAAACGUCUAUUCCGCUGACUAGACAGUCUUCUCGGGAAACCGACAGGAGCUACCAGCUGGAGCUGGCUGCACCCUAGGCAAGAGGUCACAGUGGCGACUGCUCAAGCAACUCAAAGGAAGGUGGGGAGGAAAAGAAAACACGAUCCAAAUUUACAAAUUUAGGAAAACCUUUUGCCCAACUUGGAUUGCCAGUUGUAUUGGCGGGCGCAAGGCUCAGAGUGGACCGGACCGCGAUCUUGAUGGCGGAGCCUCUGGCGAAGGCUUGUACGCGCGCGAGAACCCUGGCUUCAAGGCUGCUCUCGAGGCCGCUUUUUAGUCUCCAAAUGAGCCUAAUUUCGAUUUCCCGGCUAGCCUGAGCUGGCUCAGGAGACUUUGUCCGCCUCGUUGACGGCUGCCUCUCCCCCUUCGCCAAGGCCGGAUCUGGGCGGUCCGUUCCCGUGUAUCUCCUUGGAACCUCUCUGGGGAAAGGGGUGGUGAACAACUCCCAGCUGCCGGUUCCAUUUGUUGCGCCUUUUUCCUUCGACACAAUAAAAGUCAAAUUAAUUGAUUCAUACCAUUAA